rnacentral:rRNA from 1 species
UACGUAGGGGGCGAGCGUUGUCCGGAUUUAUUGGGCGUAAAGAGCGUGUAGGCGGUUCGGUAAGUCUGUCGUGAAAUCCUGAGGCUCAACCUCGGGCGUGCGAUGGAUACUGCCGGGCUAGAGGAUGGUAGAGGCGAGUGGAAUUCCCGGUGUAGCGGUGAAAUGCGCAGAUAUCGGGGGGAACACCAGUAGCGAAGGCGGCUCGCUGGGCCAUUCCUGACGCUGAGACGCGAAAGCUAGGGGAGCGAACAGG